rnacentral:rRNA from 1 species
CUAUCCAUUCCUUCCACCCGUCGACCGAUCCGCCGUAAUCGAUUCAUAGAAAUUUUCUUGGAAAUCGUCGUCGAUGGAGUCCCGGGCCAUUAGCCCCGGCGAGACGGCGCUGCCGUACGCGUACGCGCCGCUGGCCCCGUCCGACGUCGCGGAGGAGCGCCGGGGCGGCGGCGGUGGGGUGAGGUGGCGCGCGUGCGUCGCCGUGCUCGCCGCGUCCGCCGUGGUGGUGCUGGUCGUGGCCAGCGCGCUGGCCGGGUCCGGCAGGGUGGACCGGGUCGUGGGCGGCGACGUGGUCGCGGACAUGCCGCCGCUGGCGGAGACGGCGCGGAGCCGCGGCCGGGACGCCGGCGUGUCGGAGAAGACCUCCGGGGCGGCGGACGAGAUGGUGGGGCUCCUCGGCGCCGGCGGCGACGCCGACGGGUUCCCGUGGAGCAACGCCAUGCUGCAGUGGCAGCGCACCGGCUUCCAUUUCCAGCCCGAGAAGAACUGGAUGAACGAUCCCAACGGUCCCGUGUACUACCGCGGAUGGUACCACCUCUUCUACCAGUACAACCCGGAGGGGGCGGUGUGGGGGAACAUCGCGUGGGGCCACGCCGUGUCCCGCGACCUCAUCCACUGGCGCCACCUCCCCCUCGCCAUGGUGCCCGACCAGUGGUACGACAUCAACGGCGUCUGGACCGGCUCCGCCACCGUGCUCCCUGACGGCUCCCUCGUCAUGCUCUACACCGGCUCCACCAACACCUCCGUGCAGGUCCAGUGCCUCGCCGUCCCCGCCGACCCCAACGACUCCCUCCUCCGCAACUGGACCAAGUACGAGGCCAACCCUAUCCUUGUCCCGCCGCCCGGCAUCGGCGACAAGGACUUCCGCGACCCCACCACCGCAUGGUUCGACGAGUCCGACAAGACCUGGCGCACCGUCAUCGGCUCCAAGGACAACCACGGCCACACCGGCAUUGUCAUGACCUACAAGACCAAGGACUUCAUCAACUACGAGCUCAUCCCCGGUCUGCUCCACAGUGUCCCCGGCACCGGCAUGUGGGAGUGCAUCGACUUCUACCCCGUCGGCGGCGCCGAUGGCUCGGAGGAGCUGUACGUGAUGAAGGAGAGCAGCGACGACGACCGCCACGACUGGUACGCGCUCGGGAGGUACGACGCCGCGGCCAACAAGUACACGCCGAUCGACGCGGAGAUGGACGUGGGCAUCGGGCUGAGGUACGACUGGGGCAAGUUCUACGCGUCCAAGACCUUCUAUGACCCCUCCAAGAACCGCCGCGUGCUCUGGGGGUGGAUCGGCGAGACCGACUCCGAGCGCGCCGACGUCGCCAAGGGAUGGGCGUCCCUCCAGUCGAUCCCGAGGACGGUGGAGCUGGACGAGAAGACCCGAACCAACCUCAUCCAGUGGCCCGUGGUCGAGAUCGAGACGCUCCGCAUCAACUCCACCGACCUCGGCGGCACCACCAUCGACACCGGCAGUGUGCUCCCUCUCCCGCUCCGUCGCGCCACCCAGCUCGACAUCGAGGCCACCUUCCACCUUGACACCUCCGCCAUCGCUGCCGUCAACGAGGCUGACGUCAGCUACAACUGCAGCACCAGCGGUGGUGCUGCCAACCGUGGCGCUCUCGGUCCUUUCGGACUCCUCGUCCUUGCUGACGGUGCCCUCAAGGAGCAGACGGCGGUGUACUUCUACGUGUCGAGGGGCCUCGAUGGGGGCCUCCAGACCCAUUUCUGCCAGGACGAGUCACGGUCGUCGCUAGCCCAGGACGUCGUGAAAAGGGUGGUCGGCUUCACCGUGCCUGUGCUCGACGGUGAGGAUCUAUCCCUCAGGGUGCUGGUGGACCACUCGAUCGUGGAGAGCUUCGCCAUGGGUGGAAGGUCCACCGCGACAUCGAGGGUGUAUCCAACGGAGGCCAUCUACGCCGCCGCUGGCGUGUACCUUUUCAACAACGCCACCGGCGCUGCCGUCACCAUGGAGAAGCUCGUGGUGCACGAGAUGGACGACUCCUACAACCAGAUCUUCACGGCCGACGAUGCCUCAGCCGCCUUGUAGCUGCAAUUAAUCAAGCUCUUGGCCCGGUAAUGCAUACUCACCCAUACUACAUAUUAUGAUUCGAUUGAUCGCAUUGAUCGAUCGGCGACUUCCUCCCUCAUGGAUGGAUGGAGAUGGAGUACUAGCUACUCUAGUCAUCCUCCUGUUUGUUUGUUGUUUUUUCUUCCUUUUGGAUUUUGGGUUUUUGGUGAGAUGAAUUAGUUAGAUGAUUUGUUGGCAGGAUGAUUACUGCCUUCCAAGCGUAACUAUUGGCAGGAUGGAUAUGUAUCCUGCGGCUGGACUAUGAUGAUGAUGAUGAUGAUGAUCAUAUUGAUCAAUCAAUUGUAAAUGAAAUUAUUGGGGAAAGAGCGGGGUACGCGUGUGCGCUGCCACCAAUUUUUCGAAAUGAAAUUUUCUGACUUCCAACUUGUACGCACGGUGCUAACACUGCAUGGAUUUAAUCACAAUUUAAUAUCUGCUGU